GGUUUGCUUGCAAACCAAAGCUGGCGACCGGCGCACGGGUGAGUAACACGUAUCCAACCUGCCUCAUACUCGGGGAUAGCCUUUCGAAAGAAAGAUUAAUAUCCGAUAGCAUAUAUUUCCCGCAUGGGUUUUAUAUUAAAGAAAUUCGGUAUGAGAUGGGGAUGCGUUCCAUUAGUUUGUUGGCGGGGUAACGGCCCACCAAGACUACGAUGGAUAGGGGUUCUGAGAGGAAGGUCCCCCACAUUGGAACUGAGACACGGUCCAAACUCCUACGGGAGGCAGCAGUGAGGAAUAUUGGUCAAUGGACGCGAGUCUGAACCAGCCAAGUAGCGUGAAGGAUGACUGCCCUAUGGGUUGUAAACUUCUUUUAUAUGGGAAUAAAGUGGUCCACGUGUGGAUUUUUGUAUGUACCAUAUGAAUAAGGAUCGGCUAACUCCGUGCCAGCAGCCGCGGUAAUACGGAGGAUCCGAGCGUUAUCCGGAUUUAUUGGGUUUAAAGGGAGCGUAGGCGGAUUGUUAAGUCAGUUGUGAAAGUUUGCGGCUCAACCGUAAAAUUGCAGUUGAUACUGGCAGUCUUGAGUGCAGUAGAGGUGGGCGGAAUUCGUGGUGUAGCGGUGAAAUGCUUAGAUAUCACGAAGAACUCCGAUUGCGAAGGCAGCUCACUGGAGUGUAACUGACGCUGAUGCUCGAAAGUGUGGGUAUCAAACAGG
rnacentral:rRNA from 1 species